CCCAGGGCAUCUAGAUUGGCAGGAGCACUACAAUGACAGCCUGGCCCAAGCUCUGGGACGGGAGGCAGCCCAGUGGCCCGCAGUAGAGGGCCAGGCUGGGGGCCAGGGAGCUGGGGGCUGAGAAUUUGUACAGACUAGGGAGGUGCAGCACAGCAGUAUCAGCAUCUGACAUUUGUACUACCUUUAGUCUUGCCACUUUUUCUCACUGGCUUCGCAACAGACUUGGGAACCAAGCAAGGCAUAGCUGAGGAAGCUGAAGCCCAGUCUGGGUUCGCAGAAGAAACUGGUGGAUCCAACCUUUGCAUAGCGCAAAUAUCUGCUUCCUGCCUCCACCCACCCAUCCCUACUUCCCCUGGUUGGGGAACUCUAGGGCCUCACAUCAGAGUUCAGCAUGUGCCUCUGGAGCUCCAGCACCUCUUUUGUGGAGGGAGAGUCUGCUGGUGACUGGGGCUGCAGGUCAUCACAUCAGUCAGCCCAGCUUCAUCUCAGGCUGCUUCCAACAGUGCCAAAUGAAGUCUCUUGGCAGGAUCUCUGCAAGGCAGCGGUUCGCCACCAGGAGGCAGCAGCCUACUCUGCAAGGCACUUUAUUCCAACCCCCAAACUUUUAACAGGUCUGAGGAAACCUGCUAGCCUAGCCAACUGCCGCAGCCACCCUCCACUCCCAAGCCUAUCUCUCAAUUGCACAGAUUUCCCUAUCGCGAGUCCAGACUUGGCCUUCGUCUACUCUUGCCUUCUUUUGUCCAAGGAAUCACCACAGAAAUUCUUUCUCUACCCUCCUUUGAAAAUUUCCAGAGAAUUGUUUCCCCAGGGCUCCUCCCCUUGAAUAAAUUAAACAGAAAGCUGGAGUAGACUGUCCCUUCUUUUCCCCACCUCUCACACUCCAAAGCUCUGGUUAGCUCUGUGGGCCGGUAGCUAGAUUCCCCAACACGGAUGAUGAUCAGAGAAUACAUAUGCAAUGUAAGAAUCUUUCGCUACCACUAGCCACUCACAGACACACUAUCUUCCACCCUCUAAAGACACUGUACCCAAUCCCCAGCCACUCACGAACACACCAUCUCCCACCCUCUAAAGACACUGUACCCAAUCCCCAGCCACUCAGUCUAGUCAGGGCUGCCCCUGCAGGACUCACCUUGGCUGAGGACCAGCUAGCUUCAAGCCACUCUGAAAUCAGCUUACUGUUUCCCCUGGAGCGUGGUAAUACAUCCCUCUUCAGGUGAACAAGAGCAGAAAAAGCCCAGUAAACCCCACUGCUACAAAGAGCCUGCCAGAAGUCUUCCUUCUGUUCCUGCCUAUCUCUCCACCCAAGGGCCAUCCCAGAGCCCACUAUAUUCUAAGAUUUAUUCCUUUCACCACCACCCAGCCAAACAGCUAUCCAGACAAUUCCUUGAUCAAACAACACUGCCUUCUUGAGUUUAAAUUUUAUUUUACAAAAAGAGAAAUAAAGAAAACUGAUAGGCAGUUAUAUUGACUUACAAUUGUUCUGUUUGCUUUUUUUUUUAAAAAAGUGACAUGAAACACAAGUAAAAAUAAAUACGUCAUAGAAACAGCCAGUUGCCCAGUCUCUGGGGCAGGAGCGCCUGCCCUGCUGAGAGGAGGGAAGCCCAUGAUCACACCAGCAGCUGGAUCACCCAGCCACAGAUGCUCCUCAAAGUCAGGCACAGGUCCCAGGCCUCAGGGGCAUCCUGAGGAAAGAAGACGGAAAACCAAAGCCAGGUGCCAGGACCCUGGGGCCACCUCGUUAUCCCCCACUCCUCCUGGCAGCAGUCUGGCCUUAGUGGUUAUCCAUAGCGACCCCCCUUAACCCACCUGGACCCUCUUCCCCUGACCUCUCUGAAGACGGUACAAGGGAAAAACCUGUCUUGGGCAGGCUGGGGGGGAUUCUUCCGAUGAGUCCCCAGCCCACCCUGAGUAACAACCAGAUAACAGUCAUUUUACAUCCAGGUGCACAUGAGCACAGCAUACACAUACUGUCUCUCUCUCUCUCUCACACACACACACAAACACACACACGCACACACACAGCUCUCUUCCAGGGAGGGUCCUGGGUCCAGUCACAGUAUGAGGUCCUCUCUCUUCUGAAUAUCAUCCCAGUAGUGGCAGCAGAGAGUACCCAAACCUCCCCAAGCCCUCUGCAUUGCAGACUCUGCAGACUGCCUGGCUACCCCUCCCCAAUGCACACUAGAUUACUGUCAAACAGAACUUCGAAAGGGGAAGGUGCACACUCAGGUCCCUGAAGAGCAAAGAAGUUGGACACUGCCUGCUCAAGAAGUUCAUCAUCGUAAGACUCAGGUAUUCAUAAAAGGACUAGGGCCAAGCUAGUAGCACAGAACAGAUGUUAAGGGGGUCACAGAAUACACAGAGCAGAAGAGAAGAGUUGACAGCAGGGAAUGCAGUCUGAAGGUGACCAAUGGAGAGCGCAGCAUUCUCAUAUAGUCCUUGAGGUGCUGAUUCCUGGGAGCAGUCAGCAGAGGGCCAGAACAUCUUGUGGGGGUCCUUUUGGGGAAGGAUGACUUCUCUUAGGAAUUUUGGUGGGGAAAGAGCCACUGAGCUGUGUGCACAGAAGGCCAUGGCUCAGAAGGGAAAGACUGGUCUUCUGAGGAAUCAAAAGCAAGUGGGGGCUGGGUGCAGUGGCUCACACCUGUAAUCCCAACACUUCGGGAGGCCAAGGUGGGUAGAUCACUUGAGGUCAUGAGUUCGAGACCAGCCUGGCCAAUGUGGUGAAACCCCAUCUCUACUAAAAAAUACAAAAA